rnacentral:rRNA from 1 species
UAGUCCACGCCGUAAACGAUGGAUACUAGCUGUUGGGUUUCGGCUCAGUGGCUAAGCGAAAGUGAUAAGUAUCCCACCUGGGGAGUACGUUCGCAAGAAUGAAACUCAAAGGAAUUGACGGGGGCCCGCACAAGCGGUGGAGCAUGUGGUUUAAUUCGAUGAUACGCGAGGAACCUUACCAGGGCUUAAAUGUAAGUUGCAUGAUCUAGAGAUAGGUCUUUCUUCGGACCACUUACAAGGUGCUGCAUGGUUGUCGUCAGCUCGUGCCGUGAGGUGUCAGGUUAAGUCCUAUAACGAGCGCAACCCCUGUUGUUAGUUGCCAGCAUGUAAAGAUGGGAACUCUAACAAGACUGCCGGUGCAAACCGCGAGGAAGGUGGGGAUGACGUCAAAUCAUCACGGCCCUUACGUCCUGGGCUACACACGUGCUACAAUGGUGGAUACAGAGGGUCGCUAAGCCGCGAGGUGGAGCUAAUCCCACAAAGUCUAUCCCAGUUCGGAUUGGAGUCUGA